rnacentral:rRNA from 1 species
GACCAGCGGAGGGACAUUACUGAGUUAUCCAAACUCCAACCCUAUGUGAACCUACUGCCGUUGCCUCGGCGGGCCGCGCUUACCCGGUAGCUACCCUGUAGCUACCCGGUAGCGCGUUACGGGCCCGCCGGUGGACUUCUCAACUCUGUUAUAUAUAUACGUAUCUCUGAAUGCUUCUAACUAAAUAAGUUAAAACUUUCAACAACGGAUCUCUUGGUUCUGGCAUCGAUGAAGAACGCAGCGAAAUGCGAUAAGUAAUGUGAAUUGCAGAAUUCAGUGAAUCAUCGAAUCUUUGAACGCACAUUGCGCCCAUUAGUAUUCUAGUGGGCAUGCCUGUUCGAGCGUCAUUUCAACCCUUAAGCCCUGUUGCUUAGUGUUGGGAUUCUAGGCCCCCAGGGCCCUAGUUCCUCAAAGUGAUCGGCGGAGUCGGCGUAUACUCUGAGCGUAGUAGUGUUCUUCUCGCUUUUGUAGUAGCCCCGGCGGCUUGCCGUAAAACCCCUAUAUCUUAGUGGUUGACCUCGAAUCAGGUAGGAAUACCCGCUGAAC